AUAAAAUGGCCAUGCAAAUUUUAUCUCUUGGCCGAAUAUGGAGGAGAAAAGAAAGCCAUUGAAGCUUCCUUAGUUUCGGCAUUUGCAUGAAGUGAUUUAGAUCAAGUUAAGCCUCGUACGAGUCUAUAUCGAGGGAAAAACGAAGUAUCGGAUUCGUCGAUCUAAUUUAUCGUUACCGCGAACGAGGGUUGCCAGGUUAGCUCGGGUUGGAGGCCGUCCGAGAUAUUAUCACAUUGUCAAGUCUACGCUAUCGGCGUAAAUAACUCUUAGUGUUUUGAGUCUAUGGCAUGUAUAGGGUUGUAAAGUUGAGUAAGUAAAUGAUACAAGACUAAGAUAUUGGUAAAUAUUUAAUAAUGCCUCAUGAAUAUUUUGGGCCUUGUAAGCCCGAUUAAAUGAUAAUAUACGUGUGUAUGAAAAGUUUAAAAUUGAUCAAAAA